UUUCACGAGCGAAGACUCGGUGCAGAGCAACAAGAAAAAAAAAAAAAGAAAAAAAAGUAUGCACUUGGAUCAUCAUUGAGUAGUUUCGUCGAGGAGAAGUUUUUCGUGCUGUUGAGGAGAGAGAGGGAGUCAAUUGAGAGAGAGAGAGAGAAAGUCUUCCCGGCGCGGUGUAAUAAUGGCGGAGGAGGAGAGCGUGAAGUUGUUCGUAGGUCAAGUGCCGAAGCACAUGACGGAAUCGCAGCUGCUCGCAAUGUUCCAGGAGUUCGCCUUGGUGGACGAAGUCAACAUUAUCAAGGACAAGGCUACGCGCGCUUCUCGGGGAUGUUGUUUUGUGAUAUGUCCGUCGAGAGAGGAAGCGGACAAGGCGAUUAGCGAGUGCCAUAAUAAGAAGACGCUGCCUGGGGCAUCUAGUCCAUUGCAAGUGAAGUACGCUGAUGGAGAGUUGGAAAGGCUAGAGCACAAACUCUUUAUCGGCAUGCUUCCGAAAAAUGUUUCUGAUGCUGAAGUCUCUGCACUAUUUUCAAAUUAUGGGACCAUAAAAGACUUGCAACUUCUUAGAGGUUAUCAGCAAACCAGCAAAGGUUGUGCUUUUCUAAAGUUUGAGACAAAAGAGCAAGCGCUCGCAGCUAUUGAAGCCCUCAAUGGAAAGCAUAAGAUUGAGGGUUCAACUGUUCCAUUGGUGGUUAAGUGGGCUGAUACAGAAAAGGAAAGACAGGCAAGGAGGGCUCAGAAAGCUCUAUCAUUGGCAUCUAAUGUGUCAAAUUCAGACUCCAGGCAACAUUUGUAUGGUGCUUUACCAAUGGGUUAUAUGUCUCCAUACAAUGGAUAUGGUUAUCAGACUCCUGGAACUUAUGGCCUCAUGCACUAUCGCCUGCCGCCAAUGCAGAAUCAGCAUGCGUACCACAAUCUUAUCCCACCAUUAAACCAAGGAAAUGCUAUACGUGGAGUAACACCUGAUCUUUCAUCGGGAAUGCCUCCGAGAAAUUUCUCCGUAUCACCUAAUUAUGUGGGAUCUGCUUAUCCCACUGUACAUGGGGUUCAGUAUCCCUUAACUUAUCAUGGAGGAAUGAUUAGUAACCGCCCACUUGGUGGUCCAUCUGGUUCUCUAUCACCAUCUACUGCAAAUAGUCAAUCUGCAGCAUCUUCAAGUGUCAGCACUAGCUCAGGCGGGCAGAAUGAAGGUCCACCUGGAGCUAAUUUGUUUAUUUACCACAUUCCUCAAGAAUUUGGCGAUGAUGAGCUUGCGAGCGCCUUUCAGCGUUUUGGUAGGGUAUUGAGUGCCAAAGUUUUUGUCGACAAAGCAACAGGCGUUAGCAAAUGUUUUGGAUUCGUUAGUUACGAUUCUCCAGUUGCGGCACAGAAUGCCAUUAACAUGAUGAAUGGCUUUCAGUUAGGUGGUAAGAAAUUGAAAGUUCAACUUAAGAGAGAUAAUAAGCAAAACAAGCCUUACUAACAAGGUAAGUUAUGGAUGAGAGCAAACCUCUCAAGCUUGAUGGUCACAGAAUUUCUCCAAAAAGGAUGCAAUUUGAGCGACUGGGGGUGGAUGUGAGACGAUUCAACAGUUUCAUGCAAUACUGUCCAUCCUUCUGGAUUGAAGUUCAAGACACUUCUUCUAUGAUGGUGGGCUAUCGCCUCUAAAAGUCUUCUAGAUUUUCGAUAGGUUCUAUAAAAAGCUGCCUCAAGUCGCUCGCCUGAAUAUCCAGUUUAAUAUUGAGUAUCCAAGUUUUUUUUUGUUCGACUGCAAGAGCUCAAAAGGUCCUCAGGGCAAGAACUGAAGUACUGAACUAAUUUAUCGAGCAUGUCUUGCUGAGCCAUAUUAAAUUAUCAGAGCAUGCCUUGCUAUUCAGGUAAACAAUUUGUACUCUUAUAAUCUUUCAUGGUCACCAUUUAUGUAACUCUCUAGUUUGAACAAGGUAGCAGUGCUUGUUAUUGUCUCACUGCCUCUAUCAGGAUUGUGUUUACGUGACAUUUCUAUUAAUCGCACAAACGACUAAAUGAAGGAUUUCGUAUAUUAUUAUGCUGGUAAUAAAGAGGAAAUAGUUUUUCCUUUAAGUAUGGUGGGCUGGUUGCCUUAUUUGUCCAGUUGUUUCAGUUACAAUUAUUCUGUUGAUAGGGAGAUUGUGUUUUCUAUUUUUUGGAGUCUUACAUAACCAAAUCGCAAUCCACAUUCCCAGUAGAAUGUUGUUUGAUCUGUGGUUUGUGCCUUAAUCAUUGUUUUUGCUGUCGUAGUCACAAACUUGCAUUCAUUUAUGAUUUUGUCUCUUUGGUAUUAAGGCUCUAGAUGUUUGGGUGAUUGUUCGUUUUUGCGUGGUGGUGUAGUUCCUGACAUGUCUACUUAAGUCGAGACGUGGAGAAAUUAAUCCCAUCUCAUCAAAGGUGGGUUAUUGCUUGCCAUAUUUUACAUUCUGGUAGUGUCGAGUUUAUGAAAGCUCAUUUAUAUGCGUGGCAUCAGUUUAUUCUUUCA